rnacentral:rRNA from 1 species
AUUGUGUGAAUACAUAGCACAUUCGAGGUAGACGCAGAGAACUGAAACAUCUAAGUACCUGCAGGAAGAGAAAGAAAAUUCGAUUCCCUGAGUAGCGGCGAGCGAAACGGGAAAAGCCCAAACCAGCAAGCUUGCUUGUUGGGGUUGUAGGACUCCAAUAUGGUAGUUCUUUCAGAUAGUCGAAUGACUUGGAAAAGUCAGUCAAAGAGGGUAAAAACCCCGUAGACGAAAUGUGGAAGACACCUAGGAGGAUCCUGAGUACGGCGGAACACGAGAAAUUCCGUCGGAAUCCGGGAGGACCAUCUCCCAAGGCUAAAUACUCCCUAGUGACCGAUAGUGAACCAGUACCGUGAGGGAAAGGUGAAAAGCACCCCGGAAGGGGAGUGAAAUAGAACCUGAAACCGUGUGCCUACAACAAGUCAAAGCCCGUUAAUGGGUGAUGGCGUGCCUUUUGUAGAAUGAACCGGCGAGUUACGAUUGCAUGCGAGGUUAAGUUGAAGAGACGGAGCCGCAGCGAAAGCGAGUCUGAAUAGGGCGUUUGAGUAUGUAGUCGUAGACCCGAAACCAUGUGAUCUACCCAUGUCCAGGUUGAAGGUGCGGUAAAACGCACUGGAGGACCGAACCCACGUACGUUGAAAAGUGCGGGGAUGAGGUGUGGGUAGCGGAGAAAUUCCAAACGAACUUGGAGAUAGCUGGUUCUCUCCGAAAUAGCUUUAGGGCUAGCCUCGGAAUUGAGAAUGAUGGAGGUAGAGCACUGUUUGGACUAGGGGCCCAUCUCGGGUUACCGAAUUCAGAUAAACUCCGAAUGCCAUUCAUUCAUAUCCGGGAGUCAGACUGUGAGUGAUAAGAUCCAUAGUCGAAAGGGAAACAGCCCAGACCACCAGCUAAGGUCCCAAAAUAUAUGUUAAGUGGAAAAGGAUGUGGGGUUGCACAGACAACUAGGA